UACGUAGGGGGCAAGCGUUGUCCGGAAUCAUUGGGCGUAAAGCGCGUGUAGGCGGUUACGUAAGUCUGCUGUGAAAGUCGGAGGCUCAACCUUCGAAAGCCGGUGGAUACUGCGUGACUAGAGUACGGAAGAGGAGAGUGGAAUUCCUGGUGUAGCGGUGAAAUGCGCAGAUAUCAGGAGGAACACCAACGGCGAAGGCAGCUCUCUGGGACGUUACUGACGCUGAGACGCGAAAGCGUGGGGAGCAAACAGGAUUGAGAAACCCU
rnacentral:rRNA from 1 species